rnacentral:rRNA from 1 species
UACGGGGGGGGCAAGCGUUGUUCGGAAUUACUGGGCGUAAAGGGCUCGUAGGCGGCCAACUAAGUCAGACGUGAAAUCCCUCGGCUUAACCGGGGAACUGCGUCUGAUACUGGAUGGCUUGAGUUCGGGAGAGGGAUGCGGAAUUCCAGGUGUAGCGGUGAAAUGCGUAGAUAUCUGGAGGAACACCGGUGGCGAAGGCGGCAUCCUGGACCGACACUGACGCUGAGGCGCGAAAGCGUGGGGAGCAAAACAGG